rnacentral:rRNA from 1 species
AAAUUGAAGAGUUUGAUCAUGGCUCAGAUUGAACGCUGGCGGCAGGCCUAACACAUGCAAGUCGAACGGUAGCACAGAGAGCUUGCUCUCGGGUGACGAGUGGCGGACGGGUGAGUAAUGUCUGGGAAACUGCCUGAUGGAGGGGGAUAACUACUGGAAACGGUGGCUAAUACCGCAUAACGUCGCAAGACCAAAGAGGGGGACCUUCGGGCCUCUUGCCAUCAGAUGUGCCCAGAUGGGAUUAGCUAGUUGGUGAGGUAACGGCUCACCAAGGCGACGAUCCCUAGCUGGUCUGAGAGGAUGACCAGCCACACUGGAACUGAGACACGGUCCAGACUCCUACGGGAGGCAGCAGUGGGGAAUAUUGCACAAUGGGCGCAAGCCUGAUGCAGCCAUGCCGCGUGUAUGAAGAAGGCCUUCGGGUUGUAAAGUACUUUCAGCGGGGAGGAAGGUGUUGUGGUUAAUAACCGCAGCAAUUGACGUUACCCGCAGAAGAAGCACCGGCUAACUCCGUGCCAGCAGCCGCGGUAAUACGGAGGGUGCAAGCGUUAAUCGGAAUUACUGGGCGUAAAGCGCACGCAGGCGGUCUGUCAAGUCGGAUGUGAAAUCCCCGGGCUCAACCUGGGAACUGCAUUCGAAACUGGCAGGCUUGAGUCUUGUAGAGGGGGGUAGAAUU